rnacentral:lncRNA from 1 species
GAGAGGAAGAUGAGGGAGCUUGGGGCUGAAGGCCAGUGGGUUUGGAAGGAAGCAACAUUCAUGUGGUUAACUGAUAACUGGGCCCCAUCCCUGGGCCUCCUUCCUCCCUCCCUGUCCUUAGCCUGAUUAAGACCAACUUACCCAGCUGCUAAUCAUUGCUGAGCCUGUUGAUUUUGCCUUAAAAAAUUAACUGGGCAUGAGUUUGCGGUUUUCCUCACCCCUAACCCUGAAAAGGCCUGGGUGGGCAGGAGGCCUCCAGGGUUAUGCAAGAGGCCGCUGGCCU